rnacentral:lncRNA from 1 species
GGUGUAGCAUGCAUAUCCCCCUCUGUGUAUCAUAUAUGAGUGUUGUGUGUGUGUUUUUCAGGCCUGGUUCAUAGAUUUUGGGGUGCUGCCCUGAUUUUUGAGGCUGGCCUGUGUGCCCUGCAUUUGGUUUCAACAAUAAAAGCCAUUUUGUCCCUUGUGUCCUUGGAACUUAGGCACUUUGAGGCAUACCCUGCCUGCUUUCCACCUGCCAGCCCCUGUGAUUUUUUGGGUGCUUUUUCUGGCCUCUGGAACCCACUCUGUCUGGAAGUGAGCUGGGAAUGUUGAGGACUAUUAGUCCUCAAACAAUAAGGCCUGUGAACUGGUGGGGACAGCGAGGAUACCUCUCCUGGGACGGGGGUGGGAUGUGUGGACAGCCAUGUGGCCCUUCUCUUCUCCCAUGUCCCCAGCGAGGGCCCUGGUCGCCCUCCGUGGUAACAAGUGUGAAAAUCCCCCCUCUCCCAGUUACUGUCCCUUCCCUGCCCCUCUCUCCUGCUUCCUCUCUGGGUUUUCCUGAAGUUACCUCCCAAGCAAAUCACUAGCACCCAAAUCCUUGUCUUGUUGACCUUUCCGGGGAAACCCAUUUAAAACCACCGCCAUACCAACAGGUUCACUCACUUGCAUGUUUCUUAAAAGAAGCACGGAUCCAGAGCCUGUUCAGAGCAGGUGGCUGAGAACCAGCUAAGACCCCUGCCUUGGAGGAGCACAGACCCUGGUGAGCAGACAGAUGUUAAACAGGCAAACAGACAGGAAAGGCGGGUUGUUGCAGGUUGUACCUAAGUGUCCCGCUGGCAAUAAAGAGGGUCAUGGGAGAGGGUGAUGGAUGGGAGAACAGUUUUAUAGAGAGGCCAUGAAGUGUCCUGCGUGCCGGCCACCUGUGGCCUGCAGAAUGGGGAGGAACCAGGCACGGAAAGACGAGGGCAGCGUCGACGUGGUCAAGGAGUGCAGAGAAGGAUGUUGAGUUUGGAGUGCUGAGCACGAGGGAUUUGAUACGAGGAUCGAAGUGGGAAAGAUAGUUUUGAUCAGAAGCUCCCGGCUCUCAUGGUCUGUGUUUAGGACCUUGUAUUUUAAAGAGAGACCAGACCACUUGAAAGUGAACCUAACCCACUGAAAAAAAUGGUUAGACGGCUAUCAUUGCUGAUGAAGGCCGGUUCGGGGCUUAACAAUAAUCACGAUGGCGACAGAAGGUCAGGAACUUAAGGCCCCCCAUUGGGCAAAGUGCUGUACACCUUCAAACAUCCCAUUUUAGUACUUGCAGCACCCUGCUAAGUUUCUCACCCUGUUUACUUGAGGAGAAAACAGAAGCGAAAGGAAUUUGGCCGACUUCCAGCGAAGCAGGUUACAAGGGAUUAAACUGAGAUCUGAACCCAGGUCUCUCUGGCUUCUGAGCUAAUGAUACUCCUCUUAUUAAAGCACACCGCCUUCUUUGCUUUAUUAAAAACACUGCUUAAAAUCAUGAAUAAGCGGUAUGUUACCAAGAAGACAAUUAGCCUGAGAUCUUUGGAUUCAGUGAAGAAAAUAAGAAUCCAUUUAUUAACUUAAUUGCUGCUUAACUCGCAUGUCUCCCGUUCAAUGGAAGUACUAACACAUUUUGAUUAUUCUACCUUGUCAGGCUCUGAGUCAAGCCUCUCCUGUGCUCUCCUUCUAUUUGUUCUGCUUAAAAGCCUCCACGCCUGGGGUUUGUGCGUGUGCGUGGGGUUCCACGGAGAUGGGGUGGUUGACCGCCCGAGGUGCAUCCGUGGGCAGGGAUCAACAAAAGGGUAGGAAAAUGCUUAUCUCCGUCGUGGCUGCCUAUAGUUAGAAAUGAUAAUCUUCCCUCAGCUGACUUGUAUCUCUAGGAUUUGCUUAAUUAGAGAAAAGCUUUGCCCAUCAACUGUAGAUGGUUAAAGUGGUUCAAUAAUCUCGUAACAACCCUUAUCAUUUGCCAAUAGAAAGAGAAAAAGGAGGCAAAAAUGUUAACAGAGGAAUAUGUUUAUUACUCUCUAAUCCUCCGCCCCCCCACACCUACUAUUGAUGAGCAACUUAGUCCCUUCUUAGCUUGUUUAGCUAAAAAGGGCUGCUAGUUCCAAAGGAAAGCCUUCUGCUGAGGUGACACAUGCAGUGUGGAGUUGUGGGGGUACUGGGGAGUCCACUAAAAGCCGGAAUACCGGGUUAAGAGCAGCAGUUCGGUUUUUGGGUUUCCUUUGAAUUUUAACAACUUCGACUUCAGUAGCUGAGUCGCAUCAACCCAGCUGAUUUUAAUAUUUUGGUUGACAGGCCCUAUUAACUCACUUAUUUAGAAAAUCAUUAUUGAGCACCUACUCUGUGCUGAGCACAGGGAGUGUAGCCAUGAACACAGCACGGAAGGUACCCACUCCAGUGGGAAUUUCACACGAAUACAUAAAUCCCCAAGCCAUCAGGUGUGCACAUGUGUUAUGAUGCUAGAACACAGUGAAGACAACAGGAUGGAGGGGGUAAUGGUGGGAAGGAACAUAAUAGAACCUUUUGGGGAUUUGGAACUGUCCUGUCUCUUGAUCCGUGAGGUGGUGACCCUGGCUGCACAUGUAAAAAUUCAAGUUUUAUAAUUAAGGCAUUUAUGCAUUUGAUUAUACAUAUGUAAUAUCUACAUUUUGUGCAUUUCAAUGUAUGCAUGUAAUAGCUAAAUUAAAAAAAAAUUAAAAUCGGGGAGUAUAUGUUAAAAAAAAAACAUGGUAGGAGUUUCCAUUGUGGCUCAGUGCUAAUGAAUCCGACUAGUAUCCAUGAGGACGUGGGUGUGAUCCCUGGCUUCACUCAGUGGGUUAAGGAUCCGGCGUAGUUGUGAGCUGUGACAUAGGACAGCAGCUGUGGCUCUGAUUCGAGCCCUAGCCCGGGAACGUCCGUAUGCUGUGGGUAUGGCCCUAAAGAAAAAGACAAAAACAAACGAAAACACGGUGAAGUAAAGAGACCGAGGCAGGGAGUGUCUUUAGAGAGGGAAGGGAUGACAGCCUGCCGAAAUCUGUGUCCAGGAUGUGGCCAUGUCAAGAUGUACAAAGAGAGCUUUUCAGAGAAGGGAAGGUCCAGAUAGAAAAGUUCUAGGGCAGGAGUGACCUGGGCCCUUUGAAGAUCAGAAAUGAAGCCACUUGUUAGGAGCUGAGGAAUCAAUGGGGAGAGAGGUAGACGGAGAUGUUGCCCAGCAGGCAGGGUGAGGGCUGGGUACUGAACUAUGUUGGGAAACCAUUAGAUAGAGUUCAUCAGACUCAUAACAUGAUGUGAUGCUCUUUUAAAAUAAGAUCAUCCGGGCUUCUUGAAGAGACCAAGACCAGAACCCGGAGCACCAGGCAAGGAGCUGUGGUGGCUGCUGGGGAAGAAACACUGGUGUCUGGCAUCAGGCAGCGGAGGAUAUGGGGGGAGCAGUGAGGUGGGGUGGGAAAGGCUUUGGCGCUAAUUCAGCAGGACUUGCUCUUGAAGAACAUGACAGGAGGGAGAUAAAGGGACUGAGGAUGGGCCAGACUGACAGAGGGGUGCCAUUUCCAGGGAGGAAGAUCACCAGGAAAGAAGGUGGCUUAAAAAAGUCAAUCAAGAGUUUUGUUUGAGCCUGGUCUUUAGACCUUCAAGUAUAGAAGUCAUAUAGAGAGGUCUGUACAUUAUUCUAGACUAGUUGCUUUUCUGUCCUAGUAGUUUAAAGAUCAAAAUUUAAGACUCAAACUAGUUAAAAAUGCAUAUUUAGCUUGACAUGCUCUGAAUCCUCCCUUGUGUAACAAUAAUCUUCAUUCGUUGAGUCUUUGUGCAGAGUAAGGCAAAAUCCCCUAUUUUACACAUAAACUUCCAAUGAAUUUUUGAUGAACUCUUUCACCUUGAAGUAGAGUGUAUGUGUGUGUAAGAAAAAAAGAAGAAAGAAAGAAUGAAUGAAUAUGGGAGAGAAGGUUAAUCUUUUAUCCUUUUCAGACACCUUGCACUCACACUGGUUUGGUAAGCUCCACUGCAAAGGUAUGAUAUUGGUACUUGGAUCACUGUGAUUAAAUUUGGCUUCAUGUAAUCAAACAUCUUCCACAAUGGUUUAAACACAAAAGGUUUAUUCUCACAAGUAGAAGAAUAAUCGGAGCUAGACAGUCCAAAGCUGGUAUGGCAGCUUUAUGAAAUCACCAAGGGAUACAGGCUCCUUCUGCCUUGCUACUCAUCUAGUUUUAGCUUACUGCCUCGUGGCCCAAAAUAGCUACAGAAGCUCCAGCCAUUAUGUAUCCAUUCCAGGCCACAAGAAAGUAGAAGGAGAAGGUCAUACCCCUUUUUCUUAAAGAUCAUUUUUGGAGGUAUGCUACCACACUUCUGCUUAUAAUUCAUUGUCAUAUGUCUACAUCUAACUUCAAGGGAAGCUGGGAAAAUAGUCUCUUAGUAGAGUGACAUUUGCUGAGAGAGAGUGUCAGUGGAUAUUAGCAGGCAUCUGGCAGCUUUGCCUUAGCCAUAGCUUGCCCACUUUACUUGCCUAAGAGCACCUAACUUAAAACAGGUAGGCAGAGCCGAGACCUAAAUUUUGCUAUUAUUCAUUCUCUGAUUUUCUGCCUUUCCUCUCCUCAGCUCUUCUAUUAUCUUCACAGUUGAGAAAAUGGCUAGUUUUUCUCAAACACCCUCUCAGAGCUAUUUAUUUUCCCAUUUUUAGCAUGAGGACCAUUCUCUGAGUUCUGCAAAGUGUUAUGGGGAACAGAAGAAAGGAGAGCGCUGAUUUCAACCUUGCAAUGCAAUCGCUCCCAACUUCCAUAAAUCAGCAGGUUUUCAGGAGGCAGCGAGGAGAGCGCCAUCCGAUUUUUACACACCUGAUUCGCAAUAAAAUCUGCACAGGGGCUUCUGGGGUGCUUAUUUUCCCAAAAGGCUGAGGCAGCAGAAAUCCAUCUAUUUUACCAGGGGAGAAGGAUUCACCCAUUUAGAAGUAACUGGUAAGUGCUGGGCUAGAACAUUUUAACUCCCAGUACCCAUUUUUAAUACAGCUCGGUGGGACAUAUCUUUGCAUGUGUCCUGAGACUCCCAGAGAGGAUCCUUAGCGACUUUUCUGCCGUAAACCAAAGAUUCAUUUUUUGAAAAAGAGGAAGAACGGUAAAUCCUUGGAUCUCAGAUCUUUGCCCCGGCGUGAGUGCGUGGCUUUGUGAAGUCCGGUAGUGGUGAUUCCUCUUGCUGUAGAAGAGCUACCCACUUCCCUCCUCUGAUAGACCCAUCCACUGGAUUACGUGAUGGACACCUGAACCUUCAGCUUGGCUUUCGUGCCUGUACGGCUGGGGGCCCUGUGUCAAUGUAAAGCCAAGGCAUGGCUCACCUACAAGCAGAGGCAACGAUUAGCUAGACCCUCAGGAAGCCACUUCAGGAGUUGGAGCUCAGGUUCCCUCACUCUCCAGGGAAGUGGGGUCAGACCAUUUGAGACUUACCAUGCUCCCGAACUGGCCGAGGAGGUGGUGAGAGCUGGGAUCGGUUAUCCUCAGUGUGCACCCCAUGAAGGAGGUGCUCAGCAGGGGUCUGUUAGGUGAGCCCCUUGGAUGAAACACCCCUUCUUGGCCUCUGCACAGGAGGGGGAGCUUUGCCUGCAUGUUCUCACGCAGUCCGCUUGGCAGCUUGCUGCCACGGCUGCUGUCCUGCAUGUUUUGGAGCAGGGGAGACUGAGGCUGAGGGCGAUGGGAAGCUCAGACUUAUAAUACCGUUAUAUGGGCUUGCUUUCAGGAAAGCCAACUCAUUCCAUGUAUAUUCAAAAUCAGUGACGGUUUUAAACUUAGCAGCAAUAGGCAUGAGUAAGUUGAACCAUGUGAAAUGGGUACUUGAUGGUGUUUGUGCUACAAAAAUGUCAAUGCCAUGUGGUUCAGUUAGUAGAUUUAAAAAAAAAAAAUCUAGCCAGGUCAUUUUCCUCACUUUGGAACUUGGCAAGUAGAAGUACCGAGGGACUUCUAGAAUAGCUAAUUCUAGUGCAACUGGACGGAGUACCUGCCUCAUCUAAAGCCAGUCAGCGCUGGCAUUAUCGGAAGGCUGGGUCAUUACUCCUUGUUGAACGUCUGUCAUCUCCUAUCCUUUCUGUUCCCUACCAGAAUCUGCUGUCACAUCAGACAUAGGACUUGUAUUUCCUAAGUGGUAGAUUUUUUAAUGUAAUUUUUGUCGUUGCCUUUUGGGGAAAAAAAAUACUGCUAGAGUGCUUCAGUUAUAAAAUUGAAAAGAGGAGUUUCCUUUGCCGCUCAGCAGAUUAAGACCCUGACUAGUAUCCAUGAGGAUGCAGGUUUGAUCCCUGACCUCUCUCAGUGGGUUAAGGAUCCAGUGUUGCUGGAGCUGUGGUGUAGGUUGCACAUGUGGCUUAGAUCCCCUGUUGCUGUGGCUGUGGUGUAGACGGACGUAGCUCCAAUGGGACCCCUAGCCUGGGAACUUCCACGUGCUGUGGGUGCAGCCCUAAAAAGACCAAAAAAAAAAAAAAAAAAA